rnacentral:rRNA from 1 species
GACGAACGCUGGCGGCGUGCCUAAUACAUGCCAGUAGAACGCACAGUUUAUACCGUAGCUUGCUACACCAUAGACUGUGAGUUGCGAACGGGUGAGUAACGCGUAGGUAACCUGCCUGGUAGCGGGUGAUAACUAUUGGAAACGAUAGCUAAUACCGCAUAAUAUUAAUUAUUGCAUGAUAAUUGAUUGAAAGAUGCAACUGCAUCACUACCAGAUGGACCUGCGUUGUAUUAGCUAGUAGGUGAGGUAACGGCUCACCUAGGCGACGAUACAUAGCCGACCUGAGAGGGUGAUCGGCCACACUGGGACUGAGACACGGCCCAGACUACUACGGGAGGCAGCAGUAGGGAAUCUUCGGCAAUGGACGAAAGUCUGACCGAGCAACGCCGCGUGAGUGAAGAAGGGUUUCGGAUCGUAAAGCUCUGUUGUAAGAGAAGAACGGGUGUGAGAGUGGAAAGUUCACACUGUGACGGUAUCUUACCAGAAAGGGACGGCUAACUACGUG